rnacentral:rRNA from 1 species
GCAGCGAACGGGUGAGUAACGCGUGGGGAAUCUGCCUUUGAGCGGGGGACAACAUUUGGAAACGAAUGCUAAUACCGCAUAAAAACUUUAAACACAAGUUUUAAGUUUGAAAGAUGCAAUUGCAUCACUCAAAGAUGAUCCCGCGUUGUAUUAGCUAGUUGGUGAGGUAAAGGCUCACCAAGGCGAUGAUACAUAGCCGACCUGAGAGGGUGAUCGGCCACAUUGGGACUGAGACACGGCCCAAACUCCUACGGGAGGCAGCAGUAGGGAAUCUUCGGCAAUGGACGAAAGUCUGACCGAGCAACGCCGCGUGAGUGAAGAAGGUUUUCGGAUCGUAAAACUCUGUUGGUAGAGAAGAACGUUGGUGAGAGUGGAAAGCUCAUCAAGUGACGGUAACUACCCAGAAAGGGACGGCUAACUACGUGCCAGCAGCCGCGGUAAUACGUAGGUCCCGAGCGUUGUCCGGAUUUAUUGGGCGUAAAGCGAGCGCAGGUGGUUUAUUAAGUCUGGUGUAAAAGGCAGUGGCUCAACCAUUGUAUGCAUUGGAAACUGGUAGACUUGAGUGCAGGAGAGGAGAGUGGAAUUCCAUGUGUAGCGGUGAAAUGCGUAGAUAUAUGGAGGAACACCGGUGGCGAAAGCGGCUCUCUGGCCUGUAACUGACACUGAGGCUCGAAAGCGUGGGGAGCAAACAGGAUUAGAUACCCUGGUAGUCCACGCCGUAAACGAUGAGUGCUAGAUGUAGGG